CCUUAGGGAGGCAGCAGUGGGGAAUAUUGCACAAUGGGCGCAAGCCUGAUGCAGCCAUGCCGCGUGUAUGAAGAAGGCCUUCGGGUUGUAAAGUACUUUCAGCGGGGAGGAAGGCGUUGAGGUUAAUAACCUCAGCGAUUGACGUUACCCGCAGAAGAAGCACCGGCUAACUCCGUGCCAGCAGCCGCGGUAA
rnacentral:rRNA from 1 species